rnacentral:rRNA from 1 species
AGUGAACGCUGGCGGUAGGCCUAACACAUGCAAGUCGAACGGCAGCACAGUAAGAGCUUGCUCUUACGGGUGGCGAGUGGCGGACGGGUGAGGAAUACAUCGGAAUCUACUUUUUCGUGGGGGAUAACGUAGGGAAACUUACGCUAAUACCGCAUACGACCUACGGGUGAAAGCAGGGGAUCUUCGGACCUUGCGCGAUUGAAUGAGCCGAUGUCGGAUUAGCUAGUUGGCGGGGUAAAGGCCCACCAAGGCGACGAUCCGUAGCUGGUCUGAGAGGAUGAUCAGCCACACUGGAACUGAGACACGGUCCAGACUCCUACGGGAGGCAGCAGUGGGGAAUAUUGGAGAAUGGGCGCAAGCCUGAUCCAGCCAUACCGAGUGGGUGAAGAAGGCCUUCGGGUUGUAAAGCCCUUUUGUUGGGAAAGAAAAGCAGCAGGUUAAUACCCCGCUGUUCUGACGGUACCCAAAGAAUAAGCACCGGCUAACUUCGUG